CCUCAUCUCUUUCGCGCCAUUUAAAACCGCUCACUCUUCCCACCUCUCUCUCUCUCUCACCUCGCCUACGAUGGCCGGAACCCUCGUCCCCUUUCGCCCCCAACUCUACCUCCGGCCGCCGCUCCACUCCCGCAGAGUUCCAUCCAAUCACCGAUCUAGGGUUUCGGCCGAACUCGGGGAGAGCUCCUCCCCGUCUUCGUCCUCCUCUCUCUCCACGAGCUCGGAAACCCUAACGAUCUCUCCUCCUCCCGGGUUCCAGCCGCCGCGGCCGAAGCGGUUCUCAGUGCGCCCUGACAAGCUCCUUGAUAUCCUCGCCGCCUCGCUCGCCUUGCCCUUCCGCCUUGGCACCGGAGCUUUCGUUCUAGGAUAUUCUGUAUCCUUUGUCUCUGAAGAUGCUAUUCCAUCGACUGAAUAUGCUAUGCGUAUUGGAGGUCUGGCGCUGAAAGAGACAUCAAAAUUAGGCCCUCGCCCAGAAAAGCCAAUCGAAAUUUAUGAAUUUGAGAGUUGUCCAUUUUGUCGAAAGGUGAGGGAGAUUGUAAGCAUAUUGGAUCUGGAUGUCUUGUUCUAUCCUUGCCCAAGAAAUGGCCCGAAUUUCCGUCCUAAAGUCUUACAGAUGGGUGGAAAACAACAAUUUCCCUACAUGGUGGACCCAAACACAGGCGUGGCGAUGUAUGAAUCAGAUGACAUCAUAAAAUAUCUGGUUAAUAAAUAUGGUGAUGGAACCAUUCCUACAAUGCUCUCCCUUGGCCUUCUCACUACUCUAACAGCAGGCUUUGCUAUGAUUGGUCGGAUGGGAAAGGGCUCUUCGUAUACUCCUUCAAAACUCCCUCCUCAACCACUUGAAUUAUGGGCAUAUGAGGCCUCUCCUUUUUGUAAAAUUGUUCGUGAAGUGCUGGUUGAAUUAGAAUUACCCCACAUACUUCGAAGCACUGCACGCGGCAGCCCAAAAAGGCAGACACUAUAUGAGAAAGUUGGACAUUUUCAGGUAUUGCUACUCAAAUCAAAAUAAAAUUGCAAGUCAAGAGAUGUCAAUGCAAAAAUAUAAAGCUGAGCCUCCUAUUUCAAAGUGGCCUGUAGCAGAGCAAUGCCGGUGCCUUACUUAGAAGAUGUUAACGCCGGAGUGAAAAUGUUCGAGAGUGCUGAGAUAAUAGACUAUCUCAGAGCAACAUAUGUCCUGUCUUAACAAUUAAAUCUUUACUUUAUAUAAUUACUUUUUUAGUCCUGUAUAUGUGUUGUUGUGUUUUCAACUUUUCUUUAUUCCUUCCUAAUUUUUGUAUAAUAUCCAAUUCUUUCAUGGUCGCAUGAACAAUUGCUUGAUUGCGAAGCAUGGGCAUUUAGCACAAUAAUAUAGUGCAGUGCCUGUAAUAACCUGUAUUCUUUUACUUGAGGUCGUGGUCCUUUCUUCUUGAAGAAGCGUCCUUGUGUUGCUCCUGUUUUGUUGGUUCGUAAAAUAAGAUGUGUAAAUUGAGCUUGAACUUCUGUUAAAGGGGCUUGUACGCUAACAUUUUGAUUUA